rnacentral:rRNA from 1 species
GAUGAACGCUGGCGGCGUGCCUAAUACAUGCAAGUCGAGCGAACAGAUAAGGAGCUUGCUCCUUUGACGUUAGCGGCGGACGGGUGAGUAACACGUGGGUAACCUACCUAUAAGACUGGGAUAACUUCGGGAAACCGGAGCUAAUACCGGAUAACAUUUGGAACCGCAUGGUUCUAAAGUGAAAGAUGGUUUUGCUAUCUCUUAUAGAUGGACCCGCGCCGUAUUAGCUAGUUGGUAAGGUAACGGCUUACCAAGGCAACGAUACGUAGCCGACCUGAGAGGGUGAUCGGCCACACUGGAACUGAGACACGGUCCAGACUCCUACGGGAGGCAGCAGUAGCGAAUCUUCCGCAAAGGGCGAAAGCCUGACGGAGCAACGCCGCGUGAGUGAUGAAGGGUUUCGGCUCGUAAAACUCUGUUAUUAGGGAAGAACAAAUGUGUAAGUAACUGUGCACGUCUUGACGGUACCUAAUCAGAAAGCCACGGCUAACUACGUG